UACAGAGGUGGCAAGCGUUGUUCGGAAUUACUGGGCGUAAAGGGCGCGUAGGCGGCCCUGUAAGUCAAAGGUGAAAUCCCUCGGCUCAACUGAGGAACUGCCUUUGAAACUGCAGGGCUUGAGUCCGGGAGGGGGUAGCGGAAUUCCCAGUGUAGCGGUGAAAUGCGUAGAUAUCUGGAGGAACACCGGUGGCGAAGGCGGCGUUCUGGACUGUAACUGACACUGAGAAACGAAAGCCAGGGUAGCAAACGGG
rnacentral:rRNA from 1 species